rnacentral:rRNA from 1 species
UACGGGGGGAGCAAGCGUUGUUCGGAUUUACUGGGCGUAAAGGGCGCGUAGGCGGCCAGCACAAGUCAGUUGUGAAAUCUCCGAGCUUAACUCGGAAAGGUCAACUGAUACUGUGCGGCUAGAGUGCGGAAGGGGCAACUGGAAUUCUUGGUGUAGCGAUGAAAUGCGUAGAUAUCAAGAGGAACACCUGCGGCGAAGGCGGGUUGCUGGGCCGACACUGACGCUGAGGCGCGAAAGCCAGGGGAGCGAACGGG